rfam:Equus caballus chromosome 31, whole genome shotgun sequence.
AACAAGGCUCUAUUUAGAGCCAUAAUAAGUCCCCCCACCUUAUUA